ensembl:lncRNA
GAGGGACUUUUUGCAUUUCAUGGUGUGACGAUUAAUUCCGAUUGCUGACUGGCUUAAGAGAUGAGUGAAGCACACUUCCGGUGUCUGUGGGGGGAUCCAGAGAUGACUGGCUUGUGGGACAGCGAAUUGAGAGGAGACCUGCCCUGACCCAGGAUGACCUCAUCCAAUAAGCCGGAGAGCAGGACAGAACGAAAAGGUGGAUGAAGGAGCAAGCUGGCUUGCAGGGGGACGCCGGAUUCUGUCUCAGUGGGUGCAUCUUUUGCUGCUGCCCGUGGACGUCAGACUCCAGCUUCUUCAGCCUUCAGAGCCACUCACACCAGGCCUCUCCAGGGGCUUCCUGUUUUCAGUCCCGGACUGGGGCUGCAUCCUGAUCCCUCUCGUCCUGGGGCUUCCAGCUUCUUGGACAGAGCGGCCGCUGGACCCUCAGGCUCUCCUGCCUGCAGGUGCUGCCAUGAGCUCUCCCAUCUCCGAUCCUUUCUAAGUUCAGAAACUGAGGCCUCACCGGUCGUGACUGGCCGGAUCUCUCCGACCUUCCUUCCGGGGAUGAAGUGCGAGUGUCCUGGAGGGAAGCUGCCCCACACCACGAAGAGCGCCCCUGCCUCCCUUCUCAGAAAGAAGACCGGAUGCAGAGGGCGGAAGUGACUCCCAGAGGUCAUUCCAGAGAUAUCACACUCACCGAGUUUACAGGCAAAAGAAGAAAAUCCCAAGAAAAGGGUGGCGGGGAGCAAAGCAAAGACAAAAUCCUUCUCCUGACUGCUUGAGCCCUGCCUAUUCCCUGAGGAUUAAACUCUGAACGCGUCCCUCACACGGAAAGGACCACAGCUUCCAGGCAAGGCAUUUGCUGGGUAAAUGAAAUAACCGAUUUCCAAGGCUCACCACUUUUAAAGAUGCUUAAAGACAAUUCACGGCAGACAUUAUAUUAUGUGUGAAUGUGAGUCUUGCUCUUCUACCUUCUACCACCGCACAAUGAGGCAGGAAGCUCUCCCCAGAUGCAGCUCCUUGACUUUGGACUUGCCAGACCCCAGAACUCUAAGGAUAAAUCUCUUUUGUAAAUGAAUUACUUAAUCUCAGGUAUUCUGUAUGGCAGCAAACAAAGGACUAAGACACCGUGUGAGACUUGAUUUUCUUCAUAUACUUCAACCAAAAUAACAUCUUGUAACAGACUGAAUGAGAAGCAGAGAGAUGUGAAAAUUCAGCUAUUUUUCUACUGAGCCUGACAUUAAAGAGGUUUUCAAAAUGUAAAAGCAGUGCUGCUGUUUUCACUGA